CCGCGUCCCACUUCCGGCGUCUCCCGGAAUACACGCAACAGGAUCAGGAAAGCACAACAUGCCGUCAACAAAAUGAAGUCGUCUACAUUGAGCAGAAAUAACCAACUUCCCUUGAGAUUUGCGGACCAUUUGCCUUGAGGAGUGAAGGACCAGACCUUCCCAGAGGAUAAAGCCUGACCGGAUUGGAAAACGGCGCGAGUCUGUUCAGGGUCACGUCCACCUGUGACUACCCGCCAGCCCAGCAGUUCCUCCCGCAUGCAGCUCCCUCCCUUACCCCGCGUGGCUUCCCCUUCAAUGCCUCCAGCUCCCCGGGGGGGGGGGGGAGGGGGGGCAGGGAAGCCGGUCCAUCCCCAGCAGCUCCAGGAUCCAGGAUCCGCUCUUCUCUUCGGUAUGCAGUGUGCACGUCUGGCUUCGGCCACUGACGGCGGUUCCUGGAGCCCGUUAGGUCUUCGCGGGGCCCAGAGGCCUCCUCAGCAGAAGCGCCGGAAACGCAAGAGUGCGGACAGGACGCACCUUCCUAGACAGUGUCGACAGCUCCCCAGAAUGUUCUCUUCCCGGUUCACUACGUGCAAACCCUCCUGCUCUCAGGGAGUGUGGACGGCAGGAGUCAGGGUUACACCAAAUUUUAGACAACUCGGGCUGUGAAGGCUCCAGACAAAACUCACUGGACUCGGGGCAGAGUCGGAGUCAGGGCGAAGGCUCUUCUGGACUCUGGGGGUGGGGGGAGGGGAUCAGAACGUAUUGUAAACACAACAAAAUGACCCGGGCAGCGGAGAACUUGGAUAAGCCUGUUAACACGAUAGCGGUGAUAAGCCGACCCGAACAAUUUAGGGACACAGUGCGCCCAGGCUGCGGAGGCAGGUCUUUGCGGCGCUCACAGCCCCCGGGGCUACGAGUAAUGCCACGCUCGCCCGGGCGUGAGCGGCGUGAGCGCCCGCCCCCGGGGCCGGCCGGGCAGGCCAAGCGGAGGGUCGCCCCACGCCCCUCACCUCGCCUCCAGCCCCAGCCCUCUGGCCGAUCGCCUCUCCGCGCCCCGCCGCACCGCGAGCCCACGCCGACGCGCAACUAGAUGCCGUCGAGUGGUCCGCGGAACUGGAUCCCGAGAGGCUACUUCCGGGUUUGCAUAGGUACCGGGAGGUCUGGGCGUCUCUAUGACUUGCCCUCCGGGGCCGGUGUGGUCACGACACCCCCGCCCGCCUCCGGCUCUCGGAGCCGCCUGGCCGCUCGCCACCUGCCUCCCCACCUACCCAGUCUGUGCGGGAGGGUAGGCUUGUGCCCUUCCCGUGGCCCCAGCACCGAGACGGCUUGCUGCCAUGCUCUCCCCCUCCGCGGGACGCGUUUACGUGGACAGGAGCACCGCGCACAACCCGACUGCACUGCAUGGCGCCCUCGGAAGAAUCGCGUGGGACGCCGGCGGCGUUGACUGCGCCCUGCGCCUCUCCUGUGGUGGCUUCACGCUCCCACUGCUGUCGCGAAGCGACCUGGUACAUGGGGUUCACUUCUGGGAUCGGUUGAUUUGAGCAGAGACCUCCCUUCCCAUUCUCGCACGGCCGGAUGGGCCUUGGCUCAUCAGCCAAAGGCCCUAAAAGUUAAAAACAUCCCCAAGAAGGCAUUUUGCCUCAAAACUGUAACGUGGAGAUCCUGCCUGAGUUCCCACCCUGGCAGCCUGCUUUGCAGGUCGUAGACUUAGCAACCCGCGCAAUUGCCUGAGCUGAUUCCUUACAAAAACACAUGUUCAUACUCUAUUUCUCUGGAGUACCUGAACUGAUAAAAUUCAUGCUUAAAGUCCUA